rnacentral:lncRNA from 1 species
CUCCAGCCCUGACAGGUAGGUGCCCUCAGUCGCCCAUUUCAGAGAUGCUGAAGCUGACGCAAAGAGACGUUGAUCAACCAGCCCAAGAUAUUAAAUGAUGUUAAUCAUCAAUACCAAUCAACAGGGUUAAGGACACACUACCCCUAGUGCCUGGGCAGUUUGUUUUUUUUUUUUUUGGCUUUGUUUUUGUUUUUGUUUUUUUGUUUUUUUGAGAUGGAGUCUUGCUCUGUUGCUUCAGCUGGAGUGCAAUAGCACGAUCUCGGCUCACUGCAACCUCCACCUCCCAGGUUCAAGUGAUUCUCCCACCUCAGCCUCCCGAGUAUCUGGGAUUACAGGCACCUGUCAUCAUGCCCAGCUAAUUUUUGUAUCUUUGUAGAGACGGGGUUUCACCAUGUUGGCCAGGCUGGUCUUGAACUCCUGAGCUCAGGUGAUCCGCCCACCUCAGCCUCCCAAAGUGCUGGGAUUACAGGGGUGAGCCACUGCAUAAGGCCGAAUAUUUUAAGCUGAAGGAAUCUGAGCAACAGCGGGUACAAGCAAGAAGGACUCUCUGACCUUCCCCUGAAGCAGGUCAUAACCCCUCAUUUGAAAGGCGCCCUCCCUCCACCAGCGGGAAAGGAAGAUGCAUCUUCUUACCUCUGAAGACAAAGAGAAAUCUGAAGGGUCAAGCUUUCCUGGUUUUGCCCAGUUUGCUACUCUGAUUGACCUCAUUCUCUUUUGUCCUGUCACCUUUUCCCACAACUCUCCACUCUUCAUUAAACCUGGUACAAAACGCAGGUUUAACUGUCUUCAGGUCUUCAUUUCUCUAUGAAGCCUCUUGUGUUAUGUAAAACUUUUUUUUUUGAGACAAGGUCUCACUCUGUCACCCAGGCUGGAAUGCAGUAGCUUGAUCUUGGCUCACUGCAGCCUCGACCUUGCAGGUUCAAGCAAUCCUCCCAUGCUACCACGCCUGGCUAAUUUUUGUAUUUUUUUGUAGAGGCAAAGGUCUCUCCAUGUUGUCCAGGCUGGUCUCGAACUCCUGGGCUCAAGUGAUCCUCCCAAAGUGCUGGGAUCACAGGCAUGAGUCACCGUG